AUUGAACGCUGGCGGCAGGCUUAACACAUGCAAGUCGAGCGGAGUGAUGGUGCUUGCACUAUCACUUAGCGGCGGACGGGUGAGUAAUGCUUAGGAAUCUGCCUAUUAGUGGGGGACAACAUCUCGAAAGGGAUGCUAAUACCGCAUACGUCCUACGGGAGAAAGCAGGGGAUCACUUGUGACCUUGCGCUAAUAGAUGAGCCUAAGUCGGAUUAGCUAGUUGGUGGGGUAAAGGCCUACCAAGGCGACGAUCUGUAGCGGGUCUGAGAGGAUGACCCGCCACACUGGGACUGAGACACGGCCCAGACUCCUACGGGAGGCAGCAGUGGGGAAUAUUGGACAAUGGGGGGAACCCUGAUCCAGCCAUGCCGCGUGUGUGAAGAAGGCCUUAUGGUUGUAAAGCACUUUAAGCGAGGAGGAGGCUCUUUUGGUUAAUACCCAAGAUGAGUGGACGUUACUCGCAGAAUAAGCACCGGCUAACUCUGUGCCAGCAGCCGCCGUAA
rnacentral:rRNA from 1 species